AGUGAACGCUGGCGGUAGACCUAACACAUGCAAGUCGAACGGCAGCACAGUAAGAGCUUGCUCUUACGGGUGGCGAGUGGCGGACGGGUGAGGAAUACAUCGGAAUCUACUUUUUCGUGGGGGAUAACGUAGGGAAACUUACGCUAAUACCGCAUACGACCUACGGGUGAAAGCAGGGGAUCUUCGGACCUUGCGCGAUUGAAUGAGCCGAUGUCGGAUUAGCUAGUUGGCGGGGUAAAGGCCCACCAAGGCGACGAUCCGUAGCUGGUCUGAGAGGAUGAUCAGCCACACUGGAACUGAGACACGGUCCAGACUCCUACGGGAGGCAGCAGUGGGGAAUAUUGGACAAUGGGCGCAAGCCUGAUCCAGCAAUACCGCGUGGGUGAAGAAGGCCUUCGGGUUGUAAAGCCCUUUUGUUGGGAAAGAAAAGCAGCAGGUUAAUACCCCGCUGUUCUGACGGUACCCAAAGAAUAAGCACCGGCUAACUUCGUG
rnacentral:rRNA from 1 species